GCACGAGCGCAACCCUUGUCCUUAGUUGCCAGCAGGUGAAGCUGGGCACUCUAAGGAGACCGCCGGUGAUAAAUCGGAGGAAGGUGGGGAUGACGUCAAGUCCUCAUGGCCUUUAUUGACCAGGGCUACACACGUGCUACAAUGGCCGAUAUAAAGGGUUACAAUACCGCGAGGUGGAGUCAAUCCCAAAAAGUCGGUCCCAGUUCGGAUUGCAGUCUGAAACUCGACUGCAUGAAUUCGGAAUCGCUAGUAAUCGCGGAUCACCAUGCCGCGGUGAAUAUGUUCCCAGGCCUU
rnacentral:rRNA from 1 species